rnacentral:rRNA from 1 species
CAGCCGCCGCGGGAAUACGAAGGGGGCUAGCGUUGCUCGGAAUUACUGGGCGUAAAGGGCGCGUAGGCGGAUAGUUUAGUCAGAGGUGAAAGCCCAGGGCUCAACCCUGGAAUUGCCUUUGAUACUGGCUAUCUUGAGUUCGGGAGAGGUGAGUGGAACUCCGAGUGUAGAGGUGAAAUUCGUAGAUAUUCGGAAGAACACCAGUGGCGAAGGCGACUCACUGGCCCGAUACUGACGCUGAGGCGCGAAAGCGUGGGGAGCAAACAGGAUUAGAUACCCCGGUAGUCCCUGUCUCUUAUAC